rfam:Schistosoma rodhaini strain Burundi genome assembly, scaffold: SROB_scaffold0000797
ACCCAGAUGAAGAGUCCUAAGUAGGACAAAACGCGCGUCCCGGAU